GGAAUACGCUCUGGAAACGGAGAACAAAUCCCGAUGUACAGGAAGGAGGCAUCUUCUUUCUGUGAAACAUCCUCUAGGGGAUGGGGCGCGGAUGGACCUGCGGUGCAUUAGUUGGUUGGCGGGGUAAAGGCCCACCAAGACGAUGAUGCAUAGCCGGCCUGAGAGGGCGGACGGCCACAUUGGGACUGAGACACGGCCCAGACUCCUGCGGGAGGCAGCAGUAGGGAAUUUUCGUCAAUGGGCGCAAGCCUGAACGAGCGAUGCCGCGUGAGUGAAGAAGGCCUUCGGGUCGUAAAGCUCUGUUGCGGGGGAAAAAAGGCAGCAUCAGGAAAUGGGUGCUGACUGAUGGUGCCCCGCCAGAAAGUCACGGCUAACUACGUGCCAGCAGCCGCGGUAAUACGUAGGUGGCGAGCGUUAUCCGGAAUGAUUGGGCGUAAAGGGUGCGCAGGCGGUCCUGCAAGUCUGGAGUGAAACGCAUGAGCUCAACUCAUGCAUGGCUUUGGAAACUGGAGGACUGGAGAGCAGGAGAGGGCGGUGGAACUCCAUGUGUAGCGGUAAAAUGCGUAGAUAUAUGGAAGAACACCAGUGGCGAAGGCGGCCGCCUGGCCUGUUGCUGACGCUGAGGCACGAAAGCGUGGGGAGCAAAUAGGAUUAGAUACCCUAGUAGUCCACGCCGUAAACGAUAAGGACCAAGUGUUGGGG
rnacentral:rRNA from 1 species